AUGGCGCCUGUGGUGAGCGCUGCGCACGGUGCGUUGGGUCCCCUGUUGCUGAAGCUCACCGCCUUGCUCGCCGGCGAGUUUGGCCGCCUCAAAGGCGUCCUUCGCGAGAUCUGCUCCCUCAGAUCUGAGCUGACUAGCAUGCAUGCUGCGGUCCACAAGUACAUGAUGCUAGAAGAUCCUGAUGUUCAAGUGAAGGCAUGGAUUUCGCUGGUGAGAGAGCUGGCCUACGACAUCGAGGAUUGCAUCGACAAGUUCAUUCACCAGCUUGGCAGCGGCAGGCGCCAAGGGGGCUUCAAGGGCUUCUUUUGUGAGACUGCUCGCUGCCUAAGGACGCUUGGGUCACGGCGUGGAAUCGCCAGCCAAAUUGAUGAUAUGAAGGCUCGUGUCAACCAAGUGAAAGAGCUCAAGAAUAGUUACAAACUUGAUGAUAUUGCUUGUAGCUCCUCCGGCCAUGGUGCCUUGGAUCCUCGGCUGUCUACUCUUUUUGCUGAGGAGGCAAACCUUGUGGGCGUUGAUGGUCCAAGAGAUGAUCUAGCCAAUUGGGUGAUGGAAGAAGAUGGAUCGACAACUCCUCAUCUCAAGGUUUUGUCUAUUGUUGGGUUCGGAGGAUCGGGCAAAACAACACUAGCACAUGAAAUAUGUCGCAAGAUUCAAGGGCAUUACCAUUGUCAAGCUUUCAUAUCAGUCUCGCAGAAGCCGGAUAUUAAGAAAAUCAUCAAGGAUGUGGUGUCCAAAGUGCCUUGCCCAGAUGGAUUCAUCAAGGACAUCGACAUUUGGGACGAAGUUUCAUCUAUGGUAAAGAUGAGAGAGCUGCUACAAGACAACAGGUAUCUCGUCAUUGUUGAUGAUAUAUGGUCAACAUCAGCAUGGAACACUAUCAAGUGUGUUUUUCCAGAGAAUAAUUGUUCUUGCAGAAUUAUCACUACUACACACAUUUCUGAUGUAGCCAGGUCAUGUUGUUCAGGUGGUGAUGAUCGCGUCUAUAACAUGGAGCCUCUAAGUCACAUGCACUCUAGAAGGUUAUUUCUCAAAAGAAUUUUCGGCACCACAGAUUACUGCCCUGAUAUGUUAAAAGAAGUGUCAGAUGAAAUCCUGAAAAAGUGUGGAGGCCUUCCGUUGGCAAUUAUUAGUAUAUCUGGUUUAUUAGGGAACAAACCAGUUGACAAACAAGAGUGGGAGAAGGUGAAAAGAUCAAUCGGUUCUGGCCUAGGUCGAAACCAAUGUUUAGAGGGAAUGAACAACAUACUAUCCCUAAGCUACAAUGCUCUUCCAUAUAAUCUCAAGACUUGCCUGCUGUAUUUAAGUGUUUUUCCUGAGGAUUGUGUGAUUGAGAGAGGAAGACUAGUAAGGCGAUGGGUAGCAGAAGGAUUUAUCACUGAAGAGCGUGGACUGAGCUCGGAAGAAGUUGCAGAAAACAACUUUUAUGAGCUUAUUAACAGAAAUAUGGUCCAACCAGUGGACAUUUGAUACGAUGGUAAGGCUCGUGCCUGUCGAGUCCAUUAUGUGCUUGAACUCAUCAUAUCAAAAUCUACUGAAGAUAAUUUCAUUGAUGUGGUAAACGGUGGGCAAACAGUUUGGGAAAAUUCUCAUGGUUACAUUCGACGACUGUCGAUCCAGCACAUUGAUCAGGAACUUGCAUCUGUACUGCUAAAUAAAGACCUACGGCAUGUUCGAUCUCUGACGGUAACAACCACAGGUUGCAUCAAACACUUGCCUAGUCUUGUGAAGUUUGAAGCAUUACGUGUAAUGGAUUUUGAAGGUUCUGCAGGUUUGGAGGGUUAUGAUCUGAACGGUAUGGGCAAGCUGUUCCAGGUAAAGUACAUGAGCUUUAGGAACACUGGCAUAUUAAGGCUACCAUCGGGAAUUGUGAUGCUACAUGAUCUAGAGACACUAGAUCUUAGGAAUACAUACAUACAAGAGUUGCCCGCUGGAAUAGUUCAGCUUACUAAAUUACAGCAUCUACUUACUGCACGGAGAACAAAAAUACCAGAUGGGAUUGGGAAUAUGAGGAACUUACAAGUGAUUUCAGGAUUUAAUAUUACCGUGAGUUCAAGAGGUGCAGUGGAAGAGCUUGGGAACCUGACCUGUUUGGUAAGUCUAUGUGUCGAGUUGAACAGUGGAGGAUCUGACCGGUAUAAGAGGCAUGAAGAGAUGUUACUGUCUUCUCUAUGCAAGCUUAGUGCAUGCAAACUCCAGUCUUUAGGGAUAUUCAGCAAUGAUUCAACUCCCCUCGAGUUUUUAGAUUCUUGGUCCCCUGUACCACUUACCCUCCAAAGAUUUCAGAUGAGCACCGACUACCAUUUACUGAAUACUCCAAAGUUGAUUGCACCCACACUCAUCAGUCUAGCGCACCUGUGCAUUAAUUUAGUUGAAGUAACAAGGAAGGAUCUGCAGAUGUUUGGGAAACUGAAUGCUUUAAUUUCUCUGGAACUGUUGUUGAAAUCAGGCCAAAAAGAAAGGAUUGCAAUCCAAGGAUACCCCAGUCUGAAGGAAUUUUCCAUUGUUUGCACAGUGGAGGAAGGCGGCGCAUACAUCACGUUCGUGCAAGGGGCUAUGCCAAAGCUUGAGAAGCUUAGGCUGCCGUUCAGCGUGUCAGUGGCAAACACAUAUGGCUUCUGUUUAGGCAUUGAGCAUCUUCCAUGUCUCAAAGAGGCAGAAGUGACUCUUUACAAUGAUGGUGCUGGAUAUUUUGAAGUCAAAGCUGCAAUUGCUGUGAUCAGGAAUGAAGCGAGUGUUCAUCUGAACCAUCCUGAAGUUACUAUCGUCGGAGAGUGCAAUGAAGAGCGCAGAACCUGGCGGCACCAUUGA
rnacentral:rRNA from 1 species